AUUGAACGCUGGCGGCAUGCCUUACACAUGCAAGUCGAACGGUAACGGGCCUCCGGGUGCCGAUGCGUGGCGAACGGGCGAGUAAUACACCGGAACGUGCCCGACCCUGGGGGAUAACGUGGCGAAAGCUUUGUUAAUACCGUAUCCGAUCUGCGGUUGAAAGCCGGGGUCCGCAUGGGCUUGCGUGGACGGAGCGGGCGAUGGCCGCGUAGAUGGUUGGUGGGGUAAGAGUUUAGCAAGCCGAAGACUUGUACCUGGUGUGAUGGGAUGAUCGGCGACACUGGGACUGGAACGCGGCCCAGGCUCCUGCGGGAGGCAGCAGUGGGCAAUUUUAGACAGUAGGCGCGAGCCUUGUCCAACCAUGCGACGUGCAAGGUGAAGGCGUUCGGGUUGUAAACUGCUUUUGUACGGAGCGAAAAGCCUUCUUUUAUUACAGGGGGGGCAUGACGGUACCGUAAAAAUAAGCACCGGCUAACUACGUG
rnacentral:rRNA from 1 species